CACACUGCCCCAGAGAACAAAGGCCCUCUGGGCCAGAAGUGCCCAACCAGAUGAUUCAGCAACAGGACCGAGGGUGCCCGGGGCAAGCGCCAACUCAUGCCAUCACCCUCACAGAUCCCUGGGUUCCAGGCCAUCAAGCUACAAAUGGUCUUACAAAUGGAACCUCAAGUGAGCUCAACUCACGGCUUCUAUCGAGGACUCCUGGAUCAACCUGCUGGUCCCUCGACUAGCCAAAAAAUUCCCCUCUGGAGGACACCACAACUGCAGGGCCCCUUCUUUGCCCCUAAUCAGCAAAAAGUAGCCAGAAUGACCGCUGCCCAGUUCCCAACAGCAGUUGGGGUGUCCUGUCUAGAGCGAGGACUGAGAGGAGGGACCAGCCGGGCUUCCUGGGUCCUGCAGGGGCUCAGAAAGUUGUGAAACUCAUUCAUUUCCUGCAUCAGGACUUCCUUCUGUCCUGGAUGAAUAAUAUUGAAAACAUAUGCUUAAAAUAUUCCUAACACCAGGAUUUGUACAUGUGUUUUCUUCCCCCAAGAAAGCUAUAAACAGUGAAAAUUUUGCUAUAAGCUUCCCUGUGUCCUCUCUCCCUGUCUCCCUUCCCUCUCCCCUGAAACUAAAAGGAAUGUUAACUGACCAUUUCUCUGUGACCAGUGGACCUCAUCUAUGCUCCCAAUUCCAAUUCCUUGUAAACAUACUUUGUAAAGUCCUGUAAAUUCCCGUCUCCUUUGUCAUGCCACUGCAAGGUCAUAAAGUAGAUAAAACCUAAGUUACAAUUCCGAUAUUCCUCAAAAUCUAAGACAUGUCACAAAAUAAUUUACUGCCUUUGUUUCUUGCUCUGGUAACAUCUUCCCUCUGCACGUAUUUCCUGCCUUAAAGAGUUUAAAAGGCAACUGCAUAAUCUAACUCUGGCUACCCGCUGGGGACCCCUUCCAUGCUGUGGAAGCUUUGUACUGUCACUCUGCUCAAUAAAGCCUGC
rnacentral:lncRNA from 1 species